rnacentral:lncRNA from 1 species
UGGUUGCUCUGGCAAGUAGGAGGGGUCGUCUUCGAUGUAGUCGAACACACGAACAUCGGCAGCGGUCUCGAAGUCUACAAGAAAGAAGUAACGGAGGGGGGACACAAUAAAUAACAGAGCAAUCAAAUGUAACACAAAGCAAGACGCGGCGAUACGUUGUGCUAGGGGUGACCUAACGUAGGGAUAGGUGAUACCGGCGAAAGGGGAAACAUCCGGAAAAAUAUCCCCGGUGUUUCGCGCUUUCGGACAGAUGAACCGGAGGUGAAAUGUUGCAGGUUCGCUAUGCUAGGUACGCGUGGCUGGCGAACAGCUUGCGUAUUCAGAUUCGUCUCGUCGUUCUGAGCAACUUUCAUGUACAAAGUAUUUUCAUCCGAGUUACGGAUUAUUUUAUAUGAUUUUCUAAAGUUUACUAUUUUUUGAAUUUCUUAUUAAUUCGAAUUAAAAACAGAAUAUACUUCUGUUACUUGGUACUAUCCUAGCCACGGUGUAUGACAGUGGGGCCAGUGGGCAUGGCUUGACCCAGUCAAAGAUUAACCGGUCAAUAUAUAAACAGUGUAUGCGGGUCCAAAUUGUCAUUGACUUUAGUUUAACAAAAUGUUAAUUAACCGAGGUGGUCCCACACAUCAUUCUCUAUACACUAAGUAAUCAACAAUUUAAUCCUAAGCUAAACUAAUCUAACUAAGCAACGGCCGGCCUCACAUCCAGUGGAUGUGCAACGGCUGUGGUGCCAUGGCCAGUAGGCAUGGGCGCACAAGCCACGGCGGCCAUUGUCAUCAGUAGCAGCAGCAAAAACGCAUCAACAAGGUAGUGGCUAGCAUGAACAUCAUUAGUAGAGAGGAGCAGACCCUUUGCGCCAGCAAGCAGCAAGCAGCAGCACUAGCGCAGCAGCAGUGGCGACAGGGAGCAGUAGAACAACGCAGCAGCAAGAAAAAACAGCAGGCGGGGACGCGGGAGCGCGGACGCCCGCGCAGGUGCAAGGGAGCAGCAGCGUGGGUGCGCGCAUGGCGCAGCAAGGGCGCGGCCACCGGCAGGAGCGGGCAAGCGCGUGCGCAUACCCGGAAGCUCGAAUGCGGCCAUGGACGAGGACGACCGAGCUCGGGGACGACGGCAAACGGCGACAAAUCAAAGGGGAAAGGUGGGGAAUCGGCAGAGGAGCUCACGUUGAGGCGGUGGGCGAGCUCGAGGAGGUCGGGGAUGGUCGGGAGCAGCGGCAUCUGGCGACGGACGAGGUGUACGCUAGGGAGACGACGGCGAUGGCGGGCGAACGGGGCCUCCUAGCUCGACCCCUUGGUCAAGGGUGAAGAAGAUGACGACGAUGGAGCCCCUGGAUGUAUUCUCAGGCGCCGAGGAGGUCGUCGGCCGCGACGACGGUGAUGGUCAUGGCGGCUGCGGCCCGAUGGGGAGGGGGUACUGUGAGGGAGAGAGAGCGAGGCGAGGG